rnacentral:rRNA from 1 species
AGGUUGGGGAUAGCCAUUAGAAAUAGUGGGUAAUACCGAAUAUGGUUGCGGAACUUUGGUUCUGUAAAGAAAGGAGCUUUGGCUCCGCCUUGGGAUGGGCCCGCGUCCCAUUAGCUUGUUGGUGAGGUAAAAGCCCACCAAGGCGAUGAUGGGUAGCCGGCCUGAGAGGGUGAACGGCCACACUGGGACUGAGAUACGGCCCAGACUCCUACGGGAGGCAGCAGCUAAGAAUAUUCCGCAAUGGACGAAAGUCUGACGGAGCGACGCCGCGUGGAUGACGAAGGCCGUGAGGUUGUAAAAUCCUUUUAUUGCUGAAGAAUAAACGGGGGAGGGAAUGCCUCCGUGAUGACGUUAGGCAAUGAAUAAGCCCCGGC